CUUAAAAUUUUAUUCCAGUCAUUAAAGUAAUUUUAAAGGUCUAGUUUGAUAAAUGAGUUCUGUCCAUAGCCAUCCCAGGCCUUCUAUGAAAGUGACAUUAGCACAAUCCCUCUUCAAAUAAUUACGGAUUAUGUUUUAGUGUCUAAAUACUAAUAGCAACACUACAGUAAUUAUAUUCCUUUGUUUCCCGUGUUCUAAUACUACUGAGGUUCACUUCGCCUUUCAUUCUGAGGUAAAUAAAAUAAAGCCCCUGUCUGGUACUGGAUUUGAUUUAUAUCCUUAGGAUGCUUCUUUUUGUGUGAAUGAAAUAAUAGAUGAAAAUGAUGAUCAGUUAGAUUUAUUCAUGAUUAGUCUUAGCAUGUUUCUAUUCCAAAUUAUUGUAAAGUU
rnacentral:lncRNA from 1 species